UCCUACGGGAGGCAGCAGUGGGGAAUAUUGCACAAUGGGCGCAAGCCUGAUGCAGCAACGCCCCGUGAGGGACGAAGGCCUUCGGGUUGUAAACCUCUUUUAGUAGGGAAGAAGCGACUGGGUUUUCCUGGGAGUGACGGUACCUGCAGAAAAAGCACCGGCUAACUACGUGCCAGCAGCCGCGGUAAUACGUAGGGUGCAAGCGUUGUCCGGAAUUAUUGGGCGUAAAGAGCUCGUAGGCGGUUUGUCGCGUCUGCUGUGAAAACCCGAGGCUCAACCUCGGGCCUGCAGUGGGUACGGGCAGACUAGAGUGCGGUAGGGGAGAUUGGAAUUCCUGGUGUAGCGGUGGAAUGCGCAGAUAUCAGGAGGAACACCAAUGGCGAAGGCAGAUCUCUGGGCCGUAACUGACGCUGAGGAGCGAAAGCAUGGGGAGCGAACAGGAUUAGAUACCCUGGUAGUCCAUGCCGUAAACGUUGGGAACUAGAUGUGGGGACCAUUCCACGGUCUCCGUGUCGCAGCUAACGCAUUAAGUUCCCCGCCUGGGGAGUACGGCCGCAAGGCUAAAACUCAAAGGAAUUGACGGGGGCCCGCACAAGCGGCGGAGCAUGCGGAUUAAUUCGAUGCAACGCGAAGAACCUUACCAAGGCUUGACAUAUACCGGAAACGGCUGGAAACAGUCGCCCCGCAAGGUCGGUAUACAGGUGGUGCAUGGUUGUCGUCAGCUCGUGUCGUGAGAUGUUGGGUUAAGUCCCGCAACGAGCGCAACCCUCGUCCUAUGUUGCCAGCACGUAAUGGUGGGAACUCAUGGGAUACUGCCGGGGUCAACUCGGAGGAAGGUGGGGAUGACGUCAAAUCAUCAUGCCCCUUAUGUCUUGGGCUUCACGCAUGCUACAAUGGCCGGUACAAAGGGCUGCGAUACCGCAAGGUGGAGCGAAUCCCAAAAAGCCGGUCUCAGUUCGGAUUGAGGUCUGCAACUCGACCUCAUGAAGCCGGAGUCGCUAGUAAUCGCAGAUCAGCAACGUUGCGGUGAAUACGUUCCCGGCCCUUGUACACACCGCC
rnacentral:rRNA from 1 species